rnacentral:misc_RNA from 1 species
UCUCCGUAGGUGAACCUGCGGAGGGAUCAUUACAAGUGACCCCGGUCUUACCACCGGGAUGUUCAUAACCCUUUUUUGUCCGACUCUGUUGCCGCCGGGGCGACCCUGCCUUCGGGCGGGGGCUCCGGGUGGACACUUCAAACUCUUGCGUAACUUUGCAGUCUGAGUAAACUCAAUUAAUAAAUUAAAACUUUUAACAACGGAUCUCUUGGUUCUG